rnacentral:rRNA from 1 species
UACAGAGGUCCCCAAGCGUUGUUCGGAUUUACUGGGCGUAAAGGGUGCGUAGGUGGCCAAAUAAGUCUGAUGUGAAAUCUCGGAGCUCAACUCUGAAACUGCAUUGGAUACUAGAUGGCUUGAGGAAUGGAGGGGAGAUUGGAAUUCUCGGUGUAGCAGUGAAAUGCGUAGGUAUCGAGAGGAACACCAGUGGCGAAGGCGAAUCUCUGGACAUCACCUGACGCUGAGGCACGAAAGCCAAGGGAGCAAACGGGAUUAGAACCUCGUAGU